rnacentral:lncRNA from 1 species
AACUAAUGAAACCCUUACUUUAAUAAAUACAUUUAACUUAUGAAAAAAAUUAACCAAUUGACAUUUUAAUUUCAUGUAUAGGAUCAGCAAUCCUUCAAUUUUAACCUACUUACUGGGACUUCUAGGGGUCCAUAGAGAUAUCCCUCUACUCGUGGACCCUAGUAUCAAGGUUGACAAUUAACCCGACUGUCCCCUUACUCCAUCCGGCAAUGGGAGCCAAAAAUAUCAUCGCCUCGAUACCCCGUCCAGUAUGAGAGUGAACUGUAUCUCCCAAAACUCUUCUAGUAUAAAAUUUUUCAGCUCUGUCUGACUAAGGUAAUGUCCACAAUAGUAUUUUUUAUGUAC